AGGACGAACGCUGGCGGCGUGCUUAACACAUGCAAGUCGAGCGAGAACCAGGGCUUGCCCUGGGGACAGCGGCGAACGGGUGCGUAACACGUGAGCAACCUGCCCCAAAGACCGGGACAACCCGAGGAAACUCGGACUAAUACCGGAUGCCCUCACCGGGUCGCAUGGUCUGGUGAGGAAAUGGAUUCCGCUUUGGGAUGGGCUCGCGGUCUAUCAGCUUGUUGGUGGGGUAACGGCCUACCAAGGCGACGACGGAUAGCUGGUCUGAGAGGACGAUCAGCCACACUGGGACUGAGACACGGCCCAGACUCCUACGGGAGGCAGCAGUGGGGAAUCUUGCGCAAUGGGGGAAACCCUGACGCAGCGACGCCGCGUGCGGGAUGAAGGCCUUCGGGUUGUAAACCGCUUUCAGCAGGGACGAAUUGACGGUACCUGCAGAAGAAGGCCCGGCCAACUACGUGCCAGCAGCCGC
rnacentral:rRNA from 1 species